UUCUAAUCCUGUGAUCCAAAGAAGCCCUAAUCUAUCCCCUAUCUCUCGGCCCUCUCUCCCUUAUCUCUUUCUCUUCUGAUCUGAGCAGCGGCGGCUCCCAUCCUCUCCCUCAGAUCGAGCUCCGCCCCGAUGUGGAAGAAGGCCUCGCCGCCCAGAUGUGGAGGAAGGCCUCGCCGCCCCGUCGAUUUGCAUGCGAGCUCCACCCCGAAGUAGAGGACAUGGUACGCGGACUUCUAUCUGUGCGCAUCUAGCCAUGGAGAUGGAGGGCUCGCCCCUCUCGCGCAUCUCCUCCGCACAGAGCGCUAGCAGCCCACAUGGCGUAGAUCCGCCAUCUCGUCAGUCCCACGCGCCGGCCACCGGUGGCUACCGCACUGUUCUGUUCAUCCCCCGCCCGCCGCACGCGACGGCCCACACUGCCAUGUUGUUUUGCUGCAGCCAGACCGCCGCCCCUGCCCUCGCGCACCGGGCAGAGGCUCGUUCUUCCUGGUGGUUGUUCACUCUUGGCGACUACGCGUUCCUCCCGGUGGUGGCGCUCUGCACACUGCUUCGCCUUUCUCCCAGAGGCUGCCGUUCGGCCCCUACCUCUAACCAAUUGAUUCAGCAACACAGACAGACGUGGAUUCUAGUACAAUGUCUGGGAAAAAAGCUGGUACACCUCUAAACUUUGUAAUAUCUGGGAGAGGAUGACUAAUCUAAUAUUAUCCAACAUACAUGUUUGUUGUCCUUGACCUGGAUGCCGAUGACACUCUUUUUCAUUCAGUUUGAAGUUGGUUUGCAUUGUUUCUGCAAAAGAAUUUUGUCUGAAUGUCAUAAAAAACAUGUUGAUAUGUCAUUAUAGAAUUUUGUUGCUUCUGUUGGAACCUGCAUUAUCAAUUUUACAGCAUGCAAAAGUUACUACUAACAGGUUACAUGCUGGUUUUUGACUGUUUAGGUUUCGACUUUGGAUAUCUGAACAAAUUAUAUAUGGAGAUUUCUUCUAUUAUAAUAGAAGUUAAACUUACCAAAAGAACAGAGGAUGUUUUAAAUAAGAGCAUUGUCUUCUAUGCUAUUUACAAUGUCAAAAUGGUAUGCUAGUUUUCUGAAUCUUAAUCCAGCAACAAUAAAUAGUUUUUGACCGCAAGUUCUGAAUUUUAAUAAUGAUGGUUGAAAUGAAUGGAACCUAUAUCCUGGCUUGCCACUACUAUAUUGUUGCUUCUUAUAAAACACUUACGCACAGAUGGUUUCUCUUGGUUAUCAUAAGUGAACAUUUUUGUGAUAAUUUUCUCUUUGUUUUUUAGUGGGGAAGGAAAGCUUCAAGAUAUUCCAUUUAAAGCGCUGGUAUCUAUUUGAAAAUUAAUGUAUGUGCAUACCUCCUUGAUCCCAACAGUAUUUGUGUACUGUAUAGGAAUCCUGAGCAGUAGCAAGUCAGGUGCUUAAUGGUGAUCCUACCGUGCAUAUUGCAUAAGCAAGUUAGUUCUAAAAAGGUAAUUGUUAAUUCGCCCGCGUCCGUCCCGCUAUUGCCACAACUCAUCUUGCAUAAGUGUUCCUAUAAGUUGGUACAAAGAUUUGACCGUGAAUGAACUUCAUACAGAUAACACAGUAGUUUGUGCACAACCAUAUUGCCUUUUCUCGCAUAAUAUGAAAACAUCAAAAUUAACCAGAGAAGUGAAUAUAUCUUCUCUAACACUGUCCACAUGUUCCUCUGUCAGUUUGGAUCAUAAGAAGUUGAACUAUCAGAAGCACAUGGUCUUCCACAUCAUUUUGGCACCUUACCUGUGGGUGUCCACGACAACAAUUUUUGCGGGCUUGGAUGUGGCACCACGGGCACCCAAUCGCAGCUUGAAUUGCUAGUGCUUAGUGCAGUGGGAUCAGAGGAUGGUCAUCAAUAGUUAACACACGCCAGCAGAAAUGUAAUAACCAAAUCUUAAACAGCACACGAGAUAGUUUAUUUCUCUUAUGCGUAAUCUGAUGGUUUCCUAGGUUCUGGCUCUUAUACCUUCUGAAGAUUUGUAUGUAGAUUACAUAUGCUUCUCUGAAAGUAAUGGCUAAAUCUAAUCUAAUUUGUGGCACUGAAGUACAGAUGCUUUUCUCUGACACUGUUAUGAAUAUAAUAGUCAGGUUCAGUCUAAGUUCAUAUGCUUUUUGAUUAGUAAUUUGCAGGUCCUCAUGUGCUUAGUACUGCAUUUAGAAAUGAUUGCGAGUAGAUUCUUCUAUAUGUAUGUGUAAUUGUGUACACCAAAUGGAGUCCUUGAAAUUCAUUUCUAACAUAGGGGAAGUAUGUAUAACCUUCUGAUGUACGUGGGUUUUUCACAAUACUUUUCCUAGGCCAUGCUGCACUCAUCAUUGAAACUCCUAGCUGUGUAUUAGGUAGUAAUCAUUUUGCCUAAUUUAUUGCCAUCAAGUGAAGCAAAGUGUGGUCUUUUCCACCCCAGAGAAGAAAAAGAAAGAAAACUAUGCAGUCUUUUCUACAAGAAUGGCUUUCGUGUGUCCGUCCGUGGAUGUGUUGCUCCCAAUAAUUGGGCGUCUGGACAUUCUAAAUUGUUGCCUUGUGUCCAGAUGAUACACCAUGUAAUAUACUUCCUGGUCUGCGGCUUGUGGAGAUUGAUACAGGCUACAUGGAAUGACAUACAAGAUUACGAGGAGGGAACCAUGAAUAUGGCAGUUUGCAUCAGCUAGACAUUUUGUGUAAUGGAGUAAAAAUAAUGUGUCUUUUAGGUAUAAUUUUGUAAACCUAUAUGGUGUCUUGUCAACUGGGUAUUUUGUGUAAUGGAGCAAACGAUGAAUCACCUGGACAUGCAUAUAUCAUUUUGUAAACCUAUCAGGUGCCUCAGUGACAGAAACAUAAAUGUUUCCUCCUUUCUGUUAGUUACCUUUAUCUAUAAGAAUAUUCUUCUUUUGUUCUGGUUUAA